GGUUCCAUAGUGUAAUGGUUAGCACUCUGGACUUUGAAUCCAGUGAUCCGAGUUCAAAGCUCUGCGGAACCU
rfam:Danio rerio chromosome 9 genomic contig CTG875, GRCz11 reference primary assembly.